UACAGAGGGUGCUAGCGUUGUUCGGAAUCAUUGGGCGUAAAGGGCGUGUAGGCGGUCAGGUCAGUCCCGUGUGAAAUCCCUCGGCUCAACUGAGGAACUGCACGGGAAACUACCUGGCUUGAGUUCGGGAGAGGGAAGCGGAAUUCCGGGUGUAGCGGUGAAAUGCGUAGAUAUCCGGAGGAACACCGGUGGCGAAGGCGGCUUCCUGGACCGACACUGACGCUGAGGCGCGAAAGCUAGGGGAGCAAACGGG
rnacentral:rRNA from 1 species